UUCUUCUGUCUCCUAGCCCCUCUCUCCUCCACUGCUGGUCCUACUAACUCUGACUCCUACUAACUUGAAGACACUGGAAAAUUACCUUCCAGUCUUGCACACUCCUCUGCUGCCCCUCUUUUCCCAUUCCUCUUUCCUUCCCAUCAUACUCAUCACCCUUUGCCUUCCUGUUUACAUCAGCCUCCCCCAUUCAAACUCUCUUGGUUGUCUAGAUAAAUUUCAUAUACUGAAUUACAGCUGCAGACCAGAGCCCAAGACACCUGUGUCUGAUUCCUGCCAGUGUUCAUGAGCUUUUGUGACUCAGCCCCUUUCUGAUUCUCCUUCCUCAUCUAUGAGCUAAAGCUGGGAAAAACAUCAAAAGGGGUGUUGUGUUCCUUGGGUUCAGGGCACAAUAUAAAUCCAGGGAGUGAUUGCUGUUAACCUCUUCUGUGAGAAGUUGAACUGGCCAAAUUUUCUGGUGGAGGCCAUUGGCUGCCUUUCUUGGCUGUAACAUGCCAUUUUUCCUGAAUUUAUUCCCCCCUUUUCCCUCCCAGGGAAUGAGAUGUGCUUGGCACAGGAGCUGCAAUCCAUGCAAUAUUAUUAUUAGACAACAAACAGUGUCCAUGAAUGAUUUAAACACAGGCAGAGCUGCUGAUAUUGAUUUAUUUUAAGCUCUAUAAAGAAUUGCAUGGAGAUUAUUUUAAUGGGAAUUAUUAGGUUAUCCAUGGAGGAAUCUUCAAAAGUACCCCUCUGCAACAAGGCAAAUAGUGAAGUUUUUGAUUUGCUGGGGCUCUUUUGGGGCUCCAUGCCCUGGGCUGCCUCUGCCAGCAGCACUGGGAGGGACAAGGCACUGGCUCUGGGGGUGUAAUUUCUCUCAGUUCCCCCCUGUAAUGAAAACAAAACUGCUGCCUUGCUGGAAGGAACAGAGAGUAAAGCCUGGGAGGGGAUGAGGAGCAGACUGUGCAGACACUGAUGGAUGCUGUAAUAUUGUCCUCUCUUCUCCCUGGAGUUUCAUGUGCUGAACAGCUUCUGGCAGAGCCCUUCCUCCUCUCCUGCCUGCUUUCCAUGCCCAGUGAUCUCCCUCCUUUCCUUUCUCACUUUCUUCCUGUCCUCUUAAAUCUUCCCUGCUGGCCUGAUGUUUCCAGCCCUCCACUUUCUGAUUCUCACAUCCUAUCUCCACGUCUCAUUAGGCCUUCAGGACAGAAAAUAUCCACUUGACCUUCCUUAACAAGCCAGCCUAUACUGGUGGACUUUGCUCUGGCUGAGGAACACUCACAGCUCUUCAACCCACGCUUUACUGCAGAGAGAUAAAGAAACAUUGCAGAAAAAUGCCUAAGGAGAAGGCAAAAGUGAGUGAGUCCUCCUGCACUGAAAUGUCUUGGUGAAGACAGAAGACUUUCAACACACCUUUGUGUUGACUUAGGAGCACUGAACAGAGAGAUUUAAAAACCAAAUCCCAUUUUAACAGUCACCUACAAACCUCCAGGUCCAGCUUGGAAACCUGCUCAGAAGGUGCCUCUGCACGUGCAAGCCUCUCAUCCUGCACAGCUUUUGAAAUUAAUUGAGAAUUUAAUGCACUGGAAUUGGAUCUAAUCUCCUGGAUGCUGUCCUCUGCUCCAACGAAUGGCAAAAAUUAAAAAUAAGCUCCUUUGCAGAGCAAGAUGUCUGAAAAGCAGGCCCAAACCCCAGACAGUGAGCAAAGCUGGUGAGAAUUUGAGUUAUCCAUGUGUGGAGAGAGGUGCAGGAACAUGGGAGCAGGAAACAGGAGCAGCAGAAGCCUCUGGCACCACACAAAAGAGGAGAGACCUGACUUUCUGUGGCCAGAGACACUUUCAGUUCCCAGGGGUCACUUGAAAAGAAGCCUUUUGUAAUAUGAA